rnacentral:rRNA from 1 species
UACGUAGGGCGCAAGCGUUAUCCGGAAUUAUUGGGCGUAAAGAGCUCGUAGGCGGUUUGUCGCGUCUGCCGUGAAAGUCCGGGGCUCAACUCCGGAUCUGCGGUGGGUACGGGCAGACUAGAGUGAUGUAGGGGAGACUGGAAUUCCUGGUGUAGCGGUGAAAUGCGCAGAUAUCAGGAGGAACACCGAUGGCGAAGGCAGGUCUCUGGGCAUUAACUGACGCUGAGGAGCGAAAGCGUGGGGAGCGAACGGG